AGAGUUUGAUCCUGGCUCAGGAUGAACGCUGGCGGCGUGCCUAACACAUGCAAGUCGAGCGAACCCUUCGGGGUGAGCGGCGGACGGGUGAGUAACGCGUGGGUAACCUGCCCUGUACACACGGAUAACAUACCGAAAGGUAUGCUAAUACGGGAUAAUAUAUGAGAGUCGCAUGGCUUUUGUAUCAAAGCUCCGGCGGUACAGGAUGGACCCGCGUCUGAUUAGCUAGUUGGUAAGGUAACGGCUUACCAAGGCAACGAUCAGUAGCCGACCUGAGAGGGUGAUCGGCCACAUUGGAACUGAGACACGGUCCAAACUCCUACGGGAGGCAGCAGUGGGGAAUAUUGCACAAUGGGCGAAAGCCUGAUGCAGCAACGCCGCGUGAGCGAUGAAGGCCUUCGGGUCGUAAAGCUCUGUCCUCAAGGAAGAUAAUGACGGUACUUGAGGAGGAAGCCCCGGCUAACUACGUGCCAGCAGCCGCGGUAAUACGUAGGGGGCUAGCGUUAUCCGGAAUUACUGGGCGUAAAGGGUGCGUAGGCGGUCUUUCAAGCCAGAAGUGAAAGGCUACGGCUCAACCGUAGUAAGCUUUUGGAACUGUAGGACUUGAGUGCAGGAGAGGAGAGUGGAAUUCCUAGUGUAGCGGUGAAAUGCGUAGAUAUUAGGAGGAACACCAGUAGCGAAGGCGGCUCUCUGGACUGUAACUGACGCUGAGGCACGAAAGCGUGGGGAGCAAACAGGAUUAGAUACCCUGGUAGUCCACGCCGUAAACG
rnacentral:rRNA from 1 species